CUAUUGAGUGCUGUGGCUGCAUCUUGCAGCCGCUUAAUAGAUAACUCCCUAAUUCCCACGGUAUCAGGGAGUUAUCUACUAAAAGGCUGAAAGACCUAAAUUGGUCUUUCAGCCACAUUUACUAAUAUCAAGUAAAAAUUACUUAGUAUUAGUAAAUAAUAUGCCCCUACUCGCUAUACCGCGAGUAGGGGCAUGUCUGGUAAACAGUGAGUAGCCUGUGGCUGCCCAGUGUAAAAAAAAAAAAAAAAAACUAUUGGCCCCCACCCCUAAAUGACGGG